UUUUUGUCGAUAGUAGAAUUCAGGUGCAUUUCUGUCAGCGUUUGAAUAAUUCGGGGGUGUUUUUAGUAGUUAACCCUAUAAAUAAAUAAAUAUAAGAUGAAAUCAAGCUUUUAUGUUUUAGUUAUUUAUAAUAUCUGAUAAUAUAUACACUGCAUUCAAAAGUAAAUGCUCUUAUUUAAUGCAGGUGAAGAAUUCAAACCAGUAGAAGAAGCAUCAAAACCUGCCAAACCUGAGUCUUAAGGUGCAGAGAACUCGGCAUCAAUCGCUGGCCUCAUAGGAAAAUCAAAAGCUUGCCUUUACUCUUACAAAAUCUGAAGGUAUACUUAUAAUUAUUGUGGUGGUCAAUGAUUGAAUGAAAACUGAUUAUUUUAAUUUGAAUGUAAGAGAUGAGCUUGGAUAAUGAAGUUGGAGUGGUCGAGCAAAAAAUAGAGAUGUUAGAGCAAGUUCCAGGGAUGAAACACAGACGAGACCAAGAAACUAAGGCAGACUUAUUUUAAAGCUAAUUACAAAAGAGGAAACUUUUGGCCUUCAAAUCUUAUUCAUCAUCACUGAGCUAAGCUACUUGUCUUGUAUAUUCAUAUUCUAAGUAGUAAAAACAACACUUAUUAAAUAGUUUAAAUACAUUAUUAGAUAUUAACAUAGUUUAAGGAACUGGAUGGUAGAUUUGACUGAUUAAUGCUUAUUGCAAUGCUUGUAUUUUGGUAAGUUUAGUAAGACAAAUUGUUGUAUAGGAGUUAUUACUUUUGAUUUCCAAUAAUAAAAAAUUAUAUAUUAUAUUAA